UACGGAGGGUGCAAGCGUUAUCCGGAUUCACUGGGCUUAAAGGGCGUGCAGGCGGAUUUUUAAGUCAGUGGUGAAAUCUCCGGGCUCAACCCGGAAACUGCCAUUGAUACUAUUAGUCUUGAAUUCUGUUGAGGUGGGCGGAAUACAUCAUGUAGCGGUGAAAUGCUUAGAUAUGAUGUAGAACACCGAUUGCGAAGGCAGCUCACUAAGCAGACAUUGACGCUGAGGCACGAAAGCGUGGGGAUCAAACAGG
rnacentral:rRNA from 1 species